AACGAACGCUGGCGGCAUGCCCAACACAUGCCAGUCGAACGAGACCUUCGGGUCUAGUGGCGCACGGGUGCGUAACACGUGGGAAUCUGCCCUUUGCUUCGGAAUAACAGUUAGAAAUGACUGCUAAUACCGGAUGAUGUCGAAAGACCAAAGAUUUAUCGGCAAAGGAUGAGCCCGCGUAGGAUUAGGUAGUUGGUGGGGUAAAGGCCUACCAAGCCGACGAUCCUUAGCUGGUCUGAGAGGAUGAUCAGCCACACUGGGACUGAGACACGGCCCAGACUCCUACGGGAGGCAGCAGUGGGGAAUAUUGGACAAUGGGCGAAAGCCUGAUCCAGCAAUGCCGCGUGAGUGAUGAAGGCCUUAGGGUUGUAAAGCUCUUUUACCAGGGAUGAUAAUGACAGUACCUGGAGAAUAAGCUCCGGCUAACUCCGUG
rnacentral:rRNA from 1 species